CCACAACGCAUUAAAGUUCUCAACUUCCCACAAAUAUUGUUUGUAAGACUUACAUUUCAUGACAGUUAUAUUAUUAUUAUUUUUAACUAGACAACAACAACAUUUGAUAGCUUAAUUAUCUGCUCGUAAGCAGGUGAGACUCUGGUGCCAUUGCGGGUAAAAUCUGCGGUUCUACCACCUGGAUAAGGCCUGUGGCCAGCCUUUGUGUUAAAUCCUCCACAGGUAUCUUCAUCACAUCCUUUCUCAUCCCAAUAUCAGCAGCAUAUCUACUGGCACAGUACACCCCAACCGCUGUUGCUGCCAUUCCAUAGACGUUGGUUGUCACGAGACGCAGCGGUGUUGAAAGAACCGCUGCCAGAGGUCCUCCGAUGAUUGAGACUGCUUGCCCACUUUGUCCCAUGGUCCUCUGAUCAACCACAAGCAGUCCAGUUUUGCAGUAUAUUGCAAAGUCUUCACAGUUGUUCUUGAAUACAUUAUAGCAUCCAAAGCCAUUGUCGAGUAGGUAUUUUGCUCGAUGUACCACAAGAUCAUCUGAAUCAGCGCUAGCAAGGGUGCAAGUUCCACCUCGAGCUUUGACCAGAAAAAGAGCUGGACUAACACCAUACUCGAAACGAUACAACACUCCACCAGCAAGAAAACAGUUCAAGCAUGAGGAGACAACCCCAUUCCCUUCUUCUAGAGGAAUGCAAGUAGGGCAUGGCACGAAAGAUCGAGCAGGUCCUGAACUUACGAGUAAGACAUCAAGCACAGUCCCAGUUCCUACUUCUUGACCUCUUCUGGUGAAAUGAAUAACUCUGCCAUCUCCAACAUAAAUGCCAUGAUGGGCAUAGAUAUAAGCGGCCCUCCAAGAAUAGAUAUGAUCACCCGGUUUCAAGCUCUCCCGAUUAACUCUGUUGGAAAGAAGCCCCAUAUCUGGUUUCUCUUUGCUUGCCCUCUUCUCAAAUUGCCAGCGGAAGGGAACGGGGG
rnacentral:misc_RNA from 1 species